CAGGGUCACCCAUGGUGGACAGGUUUCAGCGGAGCUUCCAGACUAAGACAGACUAGGAAGAAGGAACUGCCCACCCACUUCUGAAAGAAUUGGCCAUGAAAACCCUGUGAAGAGCAGUGGAGCACCGUCUGAUGGAACACCGGAAGCUAAAUAUUUGAAGGAGAGUAAAUUUAAGUGAGCAGAGCAAAGAAUAAGGAUGCUCACCGUUAGAACCCAGACACCACACCAACAGGAAGCUCAGGGCGCAUGGUGUGGCCAUUUGUAGUGUUCUAGGUAACAACUCCAGCUGAGGUCCCAGCUAGAGUCGGCUUCAAUUGACAGCUGUGUAGGUGAGGAACCUUCACGCCUGGUUAUGCCCAGUCACGCCCCAAACCAUGAGAGAGAAAAAAGAAAUUCUUAUCAUUGUUUUCAGUCACGGCAAUAGACCCAAUGCAGGAAUAGAAAGAUUCUUCUCAGGAGGGGUCCAGCCAGAGUCGUCACCAGACUGUCAAAGGGGUCCGUGGCACAAAAGAGUUUAAGAAUCUCUGGUGCAGACAAAGAAGAGAGAAAGAGAAAAGGCCUGAACCCUGGAACUCUCCAACAUUUAGUGAUUAAACAUUCAAGAAGGAACCAGCAAAAGACGCUCAAAUGACUGAGUUUACAUGGAGCCAACGAGAUUAUACUUUCUGCCAUCAGACAGAACAAGUAUUCAAAAAGAGACUAACUUUAACUACAGAAACAAAAAAAUUUUAAAUUUGUAUUUUUGUAUACCAGAGUUGUUGCCCAUGAGACAUUGGAGCAUACCAUACUGGGAGGCUUUGAAGCCAAAGGAAGAAAUAUUUCAAGGAAAGAGAAAUCAACCAUAUUAAAUGCUGAUGAAAAUGGACACUCGGAUUUGGCUAGAUGAGAGUUAAGUUGCUCUUAGCUGAGUAAGAGCAGUUUCGGUAGAUUUUUGGAGACAAAAGCUUGAUUUGAAUGGGUAAAGAAGAAAAUGGGAGAUGAGCAAAUAAAGAAAGCAAGUAAAGGUAUCUUUUUGGGGAGUUUUGCCAUAAGAGGAAGCAGAGAAAUUUGGAGGGGUUGCGAGGGGACCUGGAGUCAAGAGAAGCUUAAAUAAAAUUUUUUUAAAUAUUUGUGAUAUUCCAUUAUGCUGAUGAGAAUUAUGAUGAAAUUAAUGAUGCGGGAGAG
rnacentral:lncRNA from 1 species